AUACCUUUCUCGGCCUUUUGGCUAAGAUCAAGUGUAGUAUAUGUUCUUAUCAGUUUAAUAUCUUAUAAUAUCUUAUGAUAGCUUGCUAUUGGGGUUCUCAAGUGUCGCCUUGGUGUUACACUAUUACCUUGGCCUGGCACAUCCCAC
rnacentral:snRNA from 1 species